GAUGGUAGUUUUAUCUAUGAGCCCCUGACUGGGGCUGCUGCCUUUUUUUCAGUAAUGCCCUGCCCAGAGGGGAGGAAUCUAGGGAGACAGUCUAGCUACAGUGGCUUUGCCUAGCUGCAGUGGGCUCCACCUAGUUCGAACUUCCCGGCGGCUUUGUUCACACUGUGAGGGGAAAAUCACCUACUCAAUCCUCAGUAAUGGUGGUUGCCGCUCCCCCUACCAAGCUCGAGCAUUACAGGUCAACCAGACUGCUGUGCUGGCAGCAAGAAUUUCAAGCCAGCGGAUCUUAGCUUGUUGGGCUCUGUAGGGGUUGGAUCCACUGAGCUAGACCACUUGGCUCUCUGGCUUCAGCCCCCCUUUCCAGGGGAGUGAAUGGUUCUGUCUCGCUGGCAUUCCAGGCACCACUGGGGUAUGGAAAAAAAACUUCUGCAGCUAGCUUUGUGUCUGCCCAAAUGGCUGUCCAGUUUUGUGCUUGAUGCCCUGGGCCCUGGUGGCAUAGGCACCUGAGGGAAUCUCCUGGUCUGCAGGUUGCAAAGACCAUGGGAAAAGUGUAGUAACUGGGUCGGAGUGCACCAUUUCUCAUGGCACAGUCCCUCAUGGUUUCCCUUGGCUAGGGGAAGGAGUCCUUCUACCCCUUGCAUUUCCUGGGUGAGGUGAUACCCCACCCUGCUUCGGCUUGCCCUCCAUGGGCUGCACCCACUGUCUAACCAGUCCCAGUGAGAUGAGCCAGGUACCUCAGUUGGAAAUGCAGAAAUCACCCGCCUUCUGCAUUGAUCUUGCUGCUGGGAGCUGCAGACCGGAGCUGUUCCUGUUCGGCCAUCUUGCCAGCCCUAUUGUUUUAUAUUAUUACCAGUGUUUGGUUGGUUAAUGAAGUGCAUGAUUGGUUUAUGUGUGUGCAUUAGUAAAUUUAACCUUUCUUAUUGAAUAUCUUUUAUGUAUAAAGCUUUCUGGUUUGUAUUUUGGGGACAUGGGGUUAGUUUUCUUCUUUUCAUGAGCUUAUAAUCAAGUAUGGGAGACAGACAUAAACACAAAUGACUCUUAAAUAAGGCAUCAAAUUAAAAUGCCAAAAUAGUUCUUAGAGAAGACUGGGUGCCUUUGGAAGGCUGAGGUGGGAGGAUCACUGGAGGUCAGGAGUUCGAGACCAGCCUGAUCAAUAUGGUUAAACCUGUCUCUUUUAAAAAUACAAAAAUUAGCUGGGCAUGGUGGCAGGCACCUGUAAUCCCAGCUACUUGGGAGGCUGAGGCAGGAGAAUUGCUUGAACCCAGGAGGCGGAGGUUGCAGUGAGCUGAGAUCACACCACUGCACUCCAGCCUGGGUGACCAAGCUAGACUCCAUCUCAGGAAAAAAAAAAAAAGUUCUUAAAGAAAAAAACACAACAUACUCCCCUUAAAAACAAGGAAUUCUGAGGGAGAGGUUAAUUAUACUUGUGGGGUCUACAUGGAGAGUCUUGAGAAUACUUGGAGAGAGAGAGAAGAAAAACAGAACUGGCAACCAAAUUCUGGAAAUAUAGCAAAGAGAAAAUGCCAGAGUAAGGGAAUAUAAAAAAAUAGAUAUAAUGGUGUAUUUUAAGUAUUCUUCUGUUUUAGAAGACAACCAACUUAUUGGGAACUUUCUUUUGUGGUACUACUUGCAUUUUUAAGUAUAUUAGUUUUACGUUGUGGAGAAUCAUUUAAAAAUAAUUGUUAUCUAAAGAAUAUGCUUAGUCACAAAAACAGUCAUUGGAAUCAUAAAAUAUUUUACUUUUCAAUCUAUUCUAUUACUGUUAAAUUCUAUUCACCUUUAUAUUCAUUCUAUUUCUAUUAACAAUAAUAUCUUCUAAAUCUUCACGUACAUGAAAAAUGUGUAAGCAAACAGAAAAUUUUCAAGUCAAACGCUGGUCAAUUCAAAUCCACAAGAGAGCAAACAGUACUUCUAAAAAUAAGUUUUUUAAAAAACCAUAAUGUAACAUGUCUUCAUAUUUAACGACAAUACAUAAUCAUAUGAGGAACAUAUGGAUAUUAUUUUAUCUGUUUUAGAAAUUAAAGUUCUAGAACACAGAUAUUUAACCAGAUUCAUGUGCUGUAUAUAUGGGUUUUUGUAUUUUAUUGUAGUUCCUUACUUGCAUCAUAUUAUAGUUGAAAUAAUAUUAAUAAUAAUUAUUAUGAUUUAUUGAAUGGCUCUUAUGUGCUAUCUACAUGAUAUAUCUUUUCUUAAAUGAUCCUAACAACUCUAGAAAAUAAGUAGUACUAACUUCAUAUUAAGUAUGACUUAAACAAGUCAUGCACUUUGCAAAUGAUAUGGCAGAUUUCUGCUUGACCACACAGUGAAUGCUUUGUCCAAACCACCUAUUUUGCUUUGAACUAUUCUAUUUUGGCCUGGGAAGGGGAAUUACUGCUGAUGUGAUUGGUUAAUGGUUAGUCCUAUUACACCAGGCUUGUAUCCAUUGCUACCUUUUUGUAUGUCUCUGAAUUAUCAAACGAACAGGAGCCUCCUGACUGAGACUAUGUACUAUUAAUGGAUCAUAUGUAUCCAGAUAUAUUUACAGAUAGAAUACAUUUCAGAAACAUAAAGGACAAUAAAAAAUGGCAGAAUUUACAAUCUUAACAACAUGGUUGCAGAAGCAGAACGGGAAAGUCAUGUAGGCAGUCAAGGUAAUACGCACAAUGUAAACAUGUCAUCUAGGACAUGAAGAAAACCUUUUGGGCCAAGUAGUACAGCAUGUUUAGUUAGAUCUAAACAAAUGUGCAUGACUAUAACCCCAAAUCUGUAAUUUCAUUUCUUUCCUUUUCCACAAUUAUCCAAUCUUCAGUUUUACCAGUAGUAUCAGAGACAUUUUCUGCUCUUAAACUCUAGCUAUCUGUGACACUUCCUUCUGGAAAGUGUCCAAAGCUUGAACCCUCCCUAGUUUCUCACACAUCUGUGCAUUAUUAGCCUGUUUCUGGUCAAAUCGUGUGGCAGAUGAACAACAGCCACAAAUUCUUUGACAUUCUUCCUAUAGGGAGGUAGGGCCUAUUUGCUAUCUCCUUGAAUCUGGGCUGCCAUUAAUCUCUUUCCACUAAUGGAGUGCAGUGUUAGGGAUUAUGACAGUUGUAGACCUUGUUUCUAUGAGAUUGACAGCUUCUACUUCAGUCUCCUAAAGCCCCCAGGGACAAAACAAGAAGUCAGAUCACACUGCUGGAGAGACCACAUGGAGAAUAUUGAGAAUAUGUGGAGAGAGACAGAAGAAUCUAGCUGAGCCCAGCCUUCCAAUUGUCCACAGCAAGACAUAAUGAAUGGAAGUAAAACCACCUUGGAUCAGGUGAAAACUAGACAGGUAGUGAAUUAGAACACAGACACUGGAGCCCAAUUGCCGGGGACCAGACUUCAGCUCUGCCAUUUACUGUGGGAUGACCUCGAGCAAAUUUUUUCACAUCUUAGUGUUGUUGGGGUUUUCUCAUCAGAAGUAUGAGGGUAUAAUAGUCUUCACCUUAUAGAAUUGUUGUGUGUAUAAGUUAAUAAAUAUCUAGAUAAAUACAUGUGUGUAUACAUGUACAUGUAUGUCUAUGUACACACAUACAUAUGUGUGUAUUAGAAUGAUAGCCCUAAGCAUUAAAUAUCAUUUAUAAGUUCUAAUUCUCA